rnacentral:rRNA from 1 species
CCUACGGGAGGCAGCAGUCGGGAAUUUUGGGCAAUGGGGGAAACCCUGACCCAGCAACGCCGCGUGAAGGAUGAAGUAUUUCGGUAUGUAAACUUCGAAAGAAUGGGAAGAAUAAAUGACGGUACCAUUUAUAAGCUCCGGCUAACUACGUGCCAGCAGCCGCGGUAAUACGUAGGGAGCAAGCGUUGUUCGGAUUUACUGGGCGUAAAGGGCGCGUAGGCGGCGCGGUAAGUCACUUGUGAAAUCUCUGAGCUUAACUCAGAACGGCCAAGUGAUACUGCAGUGCUAGAGUGCAGAAAGGGCAAUCGGAAUUCUUGGUGUAGCGGUGAAAUGCGUAGAUAUCAAGAGGAACACCUGAGGCGAAGGCGGGUUGCUAGGCUGACACUGACGCUGAGUGCGCGAAAGCCAGGGGAGCAAACGGGAUUAGAUACCCCGGUAGUCCUGGCCCUAAACGAUGAAUACUUGGUGUCUGGAGUUCUAAUACUCCGGGUGCCGUCGCUAACGUUUUUAGUAUUCCGCCUGGGGAGUACGCUCGCAAGAGUGAAACUCAAAGGAAUUGACGG